rnacentral:ncRNA from 1 species
GGAGUAGGAGCAGUGCGUUAAGUACCGGCUGGAUGGGAGGUUGCCACCGGGCGAAGGAAAGUCCCCGCUUUCCGCGAUACUGCUACCGCAACCGCCUGC